rfam:Pongo abelii chromosome 21, whole genome shotgun sequence.
GAGGAUUUAGUUUAAUUAAAAUGUUUGAUUUGCAUUCAAUUGAUGUAAGAUAGAGAGUGUUGCAGUCCUUA